rnacentral:rRNA from 1 species
GACGAACGCUGGCGGCGCGCUUAAUACAUGCAAGUCGAGCGAGAACCAGGGCUUCGGCUCUGGGGACAGCGGCGAACGGGUGAGUAACACGUGGGUAAUCAACCCCCGACACCGGGAUAGCCAAGGGAAACUUGGAUUAAUACCGGAUGCCCCGUCUGGCCUUCGGGCCGGCCGGAAAAGGGUAGCUUCCGCCUCUGGUCGGGGACUAGCCCGCGGCGGAUUAGCUUGUUGGUGAGGUAAAGGCUCACAAAGGCGACGCUCCGUAGCUGGUCUGAGAGGACGAUCAGCCACACUGGGACUGAGACACGGCCCAGACUCCUACGGGAGGCAGCAGUAGGGAAUCUUGCGCAAUGGGCGAAAGCCUGACGCAGCGACGCCGCGUGAGGGAAGAAGGCCUUCGGGUUGUAAACCUCUUUCAGGAGGGACGAAGCCACUCGGGUUAAUAGCCUAGAGGGUGACGGUACCUCCAGAAGAAGCCCCGGCUAACUACGUGCCAGCAGCCGCGGUAA